GUAGGUUGUACUAGAAGUAGGAGGGCUAACCCGCAGGGAGGCAUCUUACCACGGUAUGAUUUAUGAUUGGGGUGAAGUCGUAACAAGGUAGCCGUAGGUGAACCUGCAGAAGGAUCA
rnacentral:rRNA from 1 species